rnacentral:rRNA from 1 species
GAUGAACGCUGGCGGCGUGCCUAACACAUGCAAGUCGAACGGAAAGGCGCUGCUUUUGCGGGGUGCUCGAGUGGCGAACGGGUGUGUAACACGUGAGUAUCCCGCCCUUGUCUUUGGGAUAACUUCAGGAAACUGGGGCUAAUACCGGAUAGGAUCUCCUGCUGCAUGGUGUGCGUUGGAAAGUUUCGGCGGUUGGGGGUCGGCUAGAGGCGUAUCAGCUUGUUGGUGGAGUAGUGGCUUACCGAGGCUUUGACGGGUAGCCGGCCUGAGAGGGUGAGAGGCGACAUUGGGACUGAGGGACGGCCCAGAGUGGUAAGGGAGGGAGCAGUGGGGAAUAUUGCACAAUGGGCGGAAGCCUGAUGAGGAAACGCCGCGUGUGGGAUGACGGCCUUAGGGGUGUAAACCGAUUUCGCCUGUGACGAAGCGUGAGUGACGGGAAUGGGAAAAGAAGCACAGGCUAAAUAAGUG